AGGGAGUGAGUGAGGGAAAGAAAGAAAAAGAAAGAAAGUGAGUGAGCGGAAUAAUGGUGAGCGACGAGGGGAAUUUCAGAGCUUGGAAACUUUUUUCUUCCAACGAAACAGAGAAAAGAUCACGGGCAUGCGGAGGACCGCAGCUCCCAGGGCACGGUCAGUCACUGCCGUCAGCUCGCUUCGGCGAGGGCAUGCGGGCACCCCUCCUCUCCUCUGCAGUGUGCCACAGUGCUGGAUGAAGACUAUUGCUCUGGUGCCCUCGUCUUCUUCUGGCACCACACCUCACCCACCACACCAGCCCACUUCAUCAAACAAGUAUGUGAGUGUGUGAAACUGGUGCAAGGUCAGUGUGAAAAUGCAGGACUGUUAUGAUGGAAGAUAUUUGCUUUAAUCACCGUGGGGGUUUGGCAUGGAAAUUUCGCUCCUUUUAUUGCUCAGCAUCCCUUAUCCAUAUGCCAUCGUGCAGUAGAGGAAUGCUGCUGAAGUUAUAGAUUUCUUAAAGUGUCACUCCACUGAUAAUAUCCGCACACACGCCGUUCCUCCCACACACACACCCCGUUCCUCUCGCUCACUGUCAGAAUCAUGGUAGUCGGUCUGCAGUGCCAGCACACGCCCCAGGAACGCCCAGAUUUUACCGCAGUACCAAAGUACCCUGAGCAGUCUCACACACACAAAUACAGUCACUCCACCCGCAAUAUGAUUAUGAGAACUAAUCAGCUCAGAGAGUAGCGAAUCGAUGUCUAGCACAAAGUUAAAAUAUCUGAAAUGUUAAAGUCACACACUGAAAGACAGUGUUUUUGCCUGCCAUCCGGUUUGAUUGAUUUUUGAAUCAUUUGAUCUUUUAUUUAUAUUUUUUUCAGCGUUCACACAAACAUUGAAAACCUG